rnacentral:rRNA from 1 species
UACAGAGACUGCAAGCGUUAUUCGGAUUCACUGGGCGUAAAGGGUGCGCAGGCGGCCGAGUGUGUGAGGCGUGAAAGCCUGGGGCUUAACCCCAGAAUUGCACCUCAAACUACACGGCUAGAGCAUUGGAGAGGGUAGCAGAAUUCAUGGUGUAGCAGUGAAAUGCGUAGAUAUCAUGAGGAAUACCAGAGGCGAAGGCGGCUACCUGGACAAUUGCUGACGCUCAGGCACGAAAGCGUGGGGAGCAAAAGGG